AGAGUUUGAUCCUGGCUCAGAUUGAACGCUGGCGGCAAGCCUCAUACAUGCAAGUCGAGCGAGAACGUUACUUCGGUAGCUAGUAAAGCGGCGGACGGGUGAGUAACGCGUAGGAAUCUACCUUUCAGCGGGGGAUAGCUCGGGGAAACCCGAAUUAAUACCGCAUACACCCUAAGGGGGAAAGAGGGCCUAUCCUUGGAAGCUCUCGCUGUUAGAUGAGCCUGCGUGAGAUUAGUUUGUUGGUGGGGUAAUGGCCUACCAAGACUACGAUCUCUAGCUGGUCUGAGAGGACGAUCAGCCACACUGGGACUGAGACACGGCCCAGACUCCUACGGGAGGCAGCAGUAGGGAAUAUUGGACAAUGGGGGCAACCCUGAUCCAGCUAUGCCGCGUGUGUGAAGAAGGCUCUAGGGUUGUAAAGCACUUUAGGUAAGGACGAAAAGAAUAUAGUUAAUACCUAUAUUCCGUGACUUAACUUACAGAAUAAGGACCGGCUAACUCCGUGCCAGCAGCCGCGGUAAUACGGAGGGUCCAAGCGUUAAUCGGAAUUACUGGGCGUAAAGCGCGCGUAGGCGGUUUGUCAAGUUGGAUGUGAAAUCCCUGGGCUCAACCUAGGAACUGCAUUCAAAACUUAUAGACUAGAGUACGAUAGAGGAGAGUAGAAUUCCUGGUGUAGCGGUGAAAUGCGUAGAUAUCAGGAGGAAUACCAAUGGCGAAGGCAACUCUCUGGAUCGACACUGACGCUGAGGUGCGAAAGCGUGGGUAGCAAACAGGAUUAGAUACCCUGGUAGUCCACGCCGUAAACGAUGAGAACUAGCCGUUGGAUCUUAGAUUCAGUGGUACAGCUAACGCAUUAAGUUCUCC
rnacentral:rRNA from 1 species